GGCAGCAGCUAAGAAUAUUCCGCAAUGGACGAAAGUCUGACGGAGCGACGCCGCGUGGAUGAUGAAGGCCGGAAGGUUGUAAAAUCCUUUUAUGACUGAGGAAUAAGUGAAGUGAGAGAAACGCUUCAUGGUGACUGUAGGUCAUGAAUAAGCAACGGCUAAUUACGUGCCAGCAGCCGCGGUAACACGUAAGUUGCGAGCGUUGUUCGGAAUUAUUGGGCGUAAAGGGCAUGUAGGCGGUUCUGCAAGUCUGGUGUGAAAUACCGGGGCUCAACCCCGGAACUGCGUUGGAAACUGCAGAACUUGAGUCGCUGAGGGGCAGCCAGAAUUCCAGGUGUGGGGGUGAAAUCUGUAGAUAUCUGGAAGAAUACCAAUGGCGAAGGCAGGCUGCCAGCAGAUGACUGACGCUGAGGUGCGAAGGUGCGGGGAGCAAACAGGAUUAGAUACCCUGGUAGUCCGCACAGUCAACUAUGUACACUGGGUGUCCGUUCAUGAGAAUGGGUGCCGAAGCAAACGCGAUAAGUGUACCGCCUGGGGAGUAUGCCCGCAAGGGUGAAACUCAAAGGAAUUGACGG
rnacentral:rRNA from 1 species